rnacentral:rRNA from 1 species
ACUCCUACGGGAGGCAGCAGUGGGGAAUAUUGCACAAUGGGCGAAAGCCUGAUGCAGCGACGCCGCGUGGGGGAUGAAGGCCUUCGGGUUGUAAACCCCUUUCAGCAGGGAAGAAGCGAAAGUGACGGUACCUGCAGAAGAAGCGCCGGCUAACUACGUG